rnacentral:rRNA from 1 species
UCUAUUAGAAAUUAUUAAUAGUAAAAUCUGCUCCAUGUUUAAUAAAUAGCCGCAAUUUGUGCUAAGGUAGCAUAAUCAUUUGUCUUUUAAAUGAAGACUAGAACAAAAGAUUUAACAUUUUCAGUUUAUUUUCCUAAUUUAUCCUAUCAAAUUUAUCUUAAAUGUAAAAAGACAUUUAUAUAAAAGAAAGACGAUAAGACCCUAUUGAACUUAACUGCAGUUAAACUGGGGCAGUAAAUUAAUUAUUAUUUUAAUAAAAUUCACUCCAUAAAUAUCUAAUAAAAUUAAAUAAUUCAGUUACCAUAGGGAUAACAGCGUAAUAAUCUUCUAAAGAUCUCAUUUAAAAUAUAGAUUACGACCUCGAUGUUGAAUUAAUAACCUAAUUAAGGCAAAACUUAAAAAAGGAAGUCUGUUCGACUUUUAAAAAAUUACAUGAUUUGAGUUCAGACCGGUGUAAGCCAGGUCGGUUUCUAUCUUCUAAAAAAUUUUUUACAGUACGAAAGGACCUAAAAAUAUAAUA